GGAGUAUGGGCCGUGUCUCAGUCCCAUUGUGGCUGAUCAUCCUCUCAAACCAGCUACUGAUCGUCGCCUUGGUGGUCCAUUACACCGCCAACUAGCUAAUCAGAUGCAGACUCAUCCUAGAGCACCAGAGUUUUCACGAAUAGCAUCUCAGCUACGCGCAUAUGAGGUAUUAGCAGUCGUUUCCAACUGUUGUCCCUCUCUCUAGGGCAGAUUCUCUACAUUUUACUCACCCGUCCGCCACUUUCCUCUAACCGAAGCUAGAUUCUCGUUCGACUUGCAUGUAUGAAGCACGCCGCCAGCGUCUCCUCGAGCCAGGAUCAAACGUACU
rnacentral:rRNA from 1 species